rnacentral:misc_RNA from 1 species
GAUUUAUUCAAUUAAAUUAUUAUUAGUUGAGCAAAUUUUGGUGCUUAUUGAUUGCAAAAAUAAAAAUUCAACAAUAGGUUAAGUAAAAUUUCAUGUGUUUAAUCGGUCAAAAUAAAAUAUCAAUGGUGUAAUAAACUUUUCCCAUUUAGCUCAGAGGCAAAUCUGUAUAUUAGGCUAUUUUAAAAUAAUUUGAUGUGCAUAGACACCUCUUUGUGUGUGCACAUUCAUGUUUUGCUGUCAUUCUUUAGCAGAUUUGUAAACUUUAACUCAUUGCACUUAAUCCAUUCAAUCUUCAAGUGUUCCAAGUCAGAUAAAAUCAAAUUGACCUUUUUUUUCUUUUGAAAGUGCAUAAAAUAAGUUAUGUGACUAACUAACUAUUAUAACACAAAUACUGUGAUAUACUGAUAUAAUUUGACAAAUAAUACAGGAAGACUUACCUAUUCACUUUUGAACAUUUGUAGUUGUAAAUUUGUAAUCUUGUGCCUCAUUUCUAUCUUUUUGAGUAAUCUUGCAACUUGUAGGAGAGAUCUCCAUAUCCUUCGGAUUAAUAAGCCAUGGAUUGAUGUGGAUCCAUAAGCGUGGCCUUUUGGGCAAGAAUUGGCCUCACCAUUAGGGUGGCCUAGCUCUUCACUCCUUUAAUGCUUUUCAGUGCAAGUUAGUAUUUUUCCCCAUCCACCGAUUGGUAAAUCUUUUGUAUUUUUGAAAAUCAUAUCCUUCAAGCAGUUCAAAACUUUGUUACCAAGGAUCCAACACCCCCUUUAACGAACCCUUGAAUUAUAUCCUAAUCAUAGUUUUUCCCCACCUUUUUUCUCCUUACAAGGCUUGCUUCAUUAUCCUCACCCUCAUAACUUAUUUGCUCCACUCUCCAAAUGGGAAACAAAACAUUUCCUCUUUCUCUUGCUCUAUUUUCCCUUUGUGUCUUUCAACUUAUUCUGCAAGAUACCUUUUAGAUAGAGCAUUACUAAGGAAGUAAUAGCAUGCAUAUGUAGCUUCUGAUAAUUGUCUAUUUUCUAUUCUCUUAUAUUUUUUUUUAAAGUCUAUCUUCUGGAAAGUUUCAAUCUUGAUCAUUUGUGCCCGCAGGUUCAAUUGUUUACAGAUCAGGAGACUCUCCAUUUAUUGGGCAAAGAACAUGCACU